rnacentral:rRNA from 1 species
AAUGAACGUUGGCGGUGUGGAUUAGGCAUGCAAGUCGUGCGCGAAACGUAGCAAUACGUGGAGAGCGGCGAAAGGGAGAGUAAUACAUAGGUACGUACCCUCGGGUCUGGGAUAGCGGCGGGAAACUGCCGGUAAUACCAGAUAACGUCUCCGGACCAAAGGUGUGAUUCCACCUGGGGAGGGGCCUGUGGCCUAUCAGCUUGUUGGUGGGGUAACGGCCUACCAAGGCAAAGACGGGUAGGGGGCGUGAGAGCGUGCCCCCACUCACUGGGACUGAGAUACUGCCCAGACACCUACGGGUGGCUGCAGUCGAGAAUCUUCGGCAAUGGGCGCAAGCCUGACCGAGCGACACCGCGUGCGGGAUGAAGGCCUUCGGGUUGUAAACCGCUGUCGUAGGGGAGGAAGGGCCUGUGAAGAACAGGACUUGACCGAUCCUAGGAGGAAGGGCCGGCUAAUCUCGUGCCAGCAGCCGCCGUAACAC